AUUAUAAUUAAGGCAAUAUGCAAAUUGUUCGUACUUAUAAAUAAAUUAUUUUAAUCAUGCUUAUCAGACUUUAGAAAUUAUAGUAGGUAAAUUCAAGAAACAAACUGGUUUCUCUUCUCAUGAUUAUUAGAAAGUGUAAAAAAAGAGAAAACCUCCCAAAGCUGUCUGUCUACCCCUCCCAACAUAGACUGAUCAAUUCAGGGAGAAGCAGCCUGUUCUGCGUUCUGUUUAAUUGCUAAGCAGAUCCACAACUUGAGUAUGUGGCUUGUUUUCCUGGCCAGGUUGCUGUCCAUUUCCUAGCAGUUUAAAGGUUAAAUGUGCAAAAGCCCAGAAGCGAUCUUAAGUAAGAGUCCGGAAUAAAAGGAGACAAACUCACAAAUUUGGAGACAAGGCUUUGCUUUAAGAUCACUCUCUCUGAGUGUGCUUUUAGUGCGGUGUGGAAAACUUGGCCACAAGAGCUCUGCUGCAGCCACUCUGUAAGAUGAUCAUCUUGAAGUUUUGCUUCUACUGGGGAGGAUUCUUGCAUAGUUGAGGAACAACAAGAGUCACAUGGAAAUGGAUCACUGACAAAACAACUUUGUCAAAAGUCAACAUUCUCCAUGUCAAAAAGCCUCACGUGUGAACUAAAUGCACUCAGAGACGCUUCCCGAGUAGCACUUUGGAGCUUCAGAUGUGAAAUGGAUCAUUCCUCGAUCUGUAAUAGACCCUUCUGUGAAGCUCUUCAAUCAAACCCGAGAAGUCAAGGCUUAAGAAUGAGAACCAUUCUUCCAGUGUCCUUGCAACCAGCCUAACCGUCCCUAUGGCCCAUCCCAGUCUAUUGGCACAUCUGUGUGUACAACUAAAAGUUGAGUAACCAGAAAGUUCACCAGCAAAACCACGCUGUACUUACGGGUACAUCGUCCUAUGUGGAAAAAUGUAAAUCUGGUGCAUGUGUUUAAUAAAAAAAUAUGUGUUAACUUGCAA